GAGGUGGUGGACCACGGGCCCAAGGUCUACGACGCCCUGGAUGACUACCCGUCGUUCUGCAUCAACGCCGCCCUC
rnacentral:tRNA from 1 species